rnacentral:rRNA from 1 species
AUUGAACGCUGGCGGCAGGCCUAACACAUGCAAGUCGAACGCGAAAGUCCUUCGGGAUGAGUAGAGUGGCGGACGGGUGAGUAACGCGUAGGAAUCUGUCCGGUAGUGGGGGAUAACGUUCCGAAAGUAACGCUAAUACCGCAUAUGCCCCACGGGGGAUAGGGGGGGAUCCUUGGGGACCUCCCGCUAUCGGAGGAGCCUGCGGCGGAUUAGCGAGUUGGUAGGGUAAAGGCUUACCAAGGCGACGAGCCGCAGCUGGUCUGAGGGGAUGAUCGGCCACACCGGAAGUGGGACACGGUCCGGACUCCUACGGGAGGCAGCAGUGGGGAAUAUUGGACAAUGGGCGCAAGCCUGAUCCAGCCAUACCGCGUGGGUGAAGAAGGCCUUCGGGUUGUAAAGCCCUUUUGUUGGGAAAGAAAUCCUAUCGGUUAAUAACCGGUGGGGAUGACGGUACCCAAAGAAUAAGCACCGGCUAACUUCGUGCCAGCAGCCGCGGUAAUAC